rnacentral:miRNA from 3 species
UGUUGGCUCGGCUCACUCAGA